rnacentral:rRNA from 1 species
CAUGAAGCCGGAAUUGCUAGUAAUGGCAGGUCAGCAUACUGCCGUGAAUACGUUCCCGGGCCUUGUACACACCGCCCGUCACACCAUGAGAGUUGGGGAUACCCAAAGCCCGUGAGCCAACUUUUAAAGAGGCAGCGGCCUAAGGUAGAAUCAAUGAUUGGGGUGAAGUCGUAACAAGGUAGC